rnacentral:rRNA from 1 species
GCCUAACACAUGCAAGUCGAGCGGCAGCACGGGUACUUGUACCUGGUGGCGAGCGGCGGACGGGUGAGUAAUGCCUAGGAAUCUGCCUGGUAGUGGGGGAUAACGCUCGGAAACGGACGCUAAUACCGCAUACGUCCUACGGGAGAAAGCAGGGGACCUUCGGGCCUUGCGCUAUCAGAUGAGCCUAGGUCGGAUUAGCUAGUUGGUGAGGUAAUGGCUCACCAAGGCGACGAUCCGUAACUGGUCUGAGAGGAUGAUCAGUCACACUGGAACUGAGACACGGUCCAGACUCCUACGGGAGGCAGCAGUGGGGAAUAUUGGACAAUGGGCGAAAGCCUGAUCCAGCCAUGCCGCGUGUGUGAAGAAGGUCUUCGGAUUGUAAAGCACUUUAAGUUGGGAGGAAGGGCAUUAACCUAAUACGUUAGUGUUUUGACGUUACCGACAGAAUAAGCACCGGCUAACUCUGUGCCAGCAGCCGCGGUAAUACAGAGGGUGCAAGCGUUAAUCGGAAUUACUGGGCGUAAAGCGCGCGUAGGUGGUUCGUUAAGUUGGAUGUGAAAUCCCCGGGCUCAACCUGGGAACUGCAUUCAAAACUGUCGAGCUAGAGUAUGGUAGAGGGUGGUGGAAUUUCCUGUGUAGCGGUGAAAUGCGUAGAUAUAGGAAGGAACACCAGUGGCGAAGGCGACCACCUGGACUGAUACUGACACUGAGGUGCGAAAGCGUGGGGAGCAAACAGGAUUAGAUACCCUGGUAGUCCACGCCGUAAACGAUGUCAACUAGCCGUUGGGAGCCUUGAGCUCUUAGUGGCGCAGCUAACGCAUUAAGUUGACCGCCUGGGGAGUACGGCCGCAAGGUUUAAAACUCAAAUGAAUUGACGGGGGCCC